GGGGUAGUCAAGGUUUCGACAGGGGUCUUGCAGCUGGAGAAGCUAUCCGUUGCGAUACGUUAAACGCAAAUUAAACUAAACGCUGAAGAUAAUUAUCAGUACGCACUUGCAGCUUAAUCGGCUGUAAGUGACGCCGCCUAAGGCGGCUUGUCCGCUCCGGAGCACCCACACUCCGGAAUCCGGGCAUCGACUAUGUGGGAAACGACGUAUGUUAAGCUUUGCGCAUGCGGGCGUAUUAUGAAGCUACUGAAUUCGGCAGGUUGUUCGUUUCCUGCCGCAGGAGGGAAAGGGCCUUCGGGCCGAGAUAACGGACUAUGAUAGUAGAAGGACAGGGAAUGGGCUUUUGGACAGGGGUUCGACUCCCCUCUACUCCACUA
rnacentral:tmRNA from 1 species